GUUCGUGGAUUCUCAAUCCCUUCAAUUACAGUCUCUUGAUGACUUUAAAAUAAAAGUACAGGAUGCAAGUUGUAAUUGAAAGACCAAAUAAUGCAUAUUCAUAACCUUUAAGGUUUUUUCCACUGUCUAUCAAUUUUAUAAAAUGCACUAGAAUUACAACAUUUAUCCCCAGACAAAAUCCAGAAAACUUAGAGCUCUACUAUGUCUCAAAAAUAAAAUAAAAAAGGAAAGCAAGAAUGCGAAAUUAUGUACAAUCUUUUAUUACAUUCUUAUUUAAUUGAUUACAUUCCUAUGUUGUUUGUGCUUACGAAAAGGCAUAUCCCGUUGAAGGUAGUGUCGAAACUGAAACUGCAUGGUUAAUCGCUAAAAGAUGUUUUCUUGUGCGGAAGAAAUUUCACGAAAUUAUAGCAGUCGGUAUGGAACUAGUCGUAGGAAAAGUGCACUUACUAGUAUGAUAAAAAAUUUGAGUUUUGCAUUAGGCAGUUGUUGAGAUGCUCAGACAAAAGCGGUGAAAAAUUAUCAAGGUGACACAAAUAAUGGGGAUGAGUUGAUGCGAGCAAACAGUUGGUACCUAAUUUUUCCCAAAUUCAUCACAAGGUUCAACCAUCACAAAUGUUGGAAGGUUGUGAAAAUUUGCCCAACAUACUGAAUUAUUAAGUGUGUUUCUAACGUUGUUCCAAAGGAGACGACGUUAAAAGGUGAGACUGACAAGUAGAGUGGUUUAUUUUAUAGAAGUCAAGUUGAGUAUGCAAGGAACUUCAGAUUGAUAAAAGAGAUUGGGAGGCUAUGUUCAUGAAGGUUGACGACAAAGCAUCGUCGAACACACAAGCUUUUUGUAGGCACAAAUUAAGGAAAGUGACAAGAAGAAGAAAUCUUUUAUGUGAUGAGGCACCUCGAACCUUAGUGAAGACGAACCUAGCAUCACAAAUUGGUUUGGGUACAUAUAAUUAUUAGGUUAUCUUAUUAGAUUUUUAAGAUGUACCCCUUUUUAUUUGAGAAAUAAAAUUUAAUUAUAAUGUUUCA